AUUGAACGCUGGCGGCAGGCCUAACACAUGCAAGUCGAACGAGUGGCGGACGGGUGAGUAAUGUCUGGGAAACUGCCCGAUGGAGGGGGAUAACUAAGGGAAACAGUAGCUAAUAACGCAUACCAUCGGAUGUGCCAAGAGGGGAUUAGCUAGUAGGUGGGGUAACGGCGUACCUAGGCGACGAUCCCUAGCUGGUCUGAGAGGCUGACCAGCCACACUGGAAUUGAGACACGGUCCAGACUCCUACGGUAGGCAGCAGUGGGGAAUAUUGCACAAGGGGCGCAAUCCUGAUGCAGCCAUGCCGCGUGGAUGAAGAAGGCCUGCGGGUUGGAAAGUACUUUCAGCGAGGAGGCGUUACUCGCCGAAGAAGCCCCGGCUAACUCCGUGCCAGCAGCCGCGGUAAUAC
rnacentral:rRNA from 1 species